rnacentral:rRNA from 1 species
GACGAACGCUGGCGGCGUGCUUUACACAUGCAAGUCGAACGGUGAAGCGCCUUCCUUUUUGGUGGGUGUGGAUGAGUGGCGAACGGGUGAGUAACACGUGAGUAACCUGCCCCCUUCUUCUGGAUAACCGCAUGAAAGUGUGGCUAAUACGGGAUAUUCUGGGUCUGUCGCAUGAUGGGUCUGGGAAAGAUAUUGUUUCGGUGGGGGAUGGGCUCGCGGCCUAUCAGCUUGUUGGUGGGGUGAUGGCCUACCAAGGCGGUGACGGGUAGCCGGCCUGAGAGGGUGGACGGUCACACUGGGACUGAGACACGGCCCAGACUCCUACGGGAGGCAGCAGUGGGGAAUAUUGCACAAUGGGCGCAAGCCUGAUGCAGCGACGCCGCGUGCGGGAUGGAGGCCUUCGGGUUGUGAACCUCUUUCGCCAGUGAAGCAGGCCUGCCUCGUUUGUGGGUGGGUUGACGGUAGCUGGAUAAGAAGCGCCGGCUAACUACGUG